rnacentral:rRNA from 1 species
CCCUGAGAGUCCUGAAGGAACGUUGAAGACGACGACGUUGAUAGGUCGGGUGUGUAAGCGCAGCGAUGCGUUGAGCUAACCGAUACUAAUGAACCGUGAGGCUUAACCUU